UGUUAAGCAAUAGUCCUAUAUGUUAAAAGCUAUCUGUGCUAUUCGUCCCUACUGUCCUGUGAAAGCAGAGCUUGGAAGUUUUUUGGAGGAAAGGAGUGGGGUGGGGACUCAGCUCCCAGAAUCCUGGAUUUGACGGAUUUGUUGAUGGAGGCUGGUUUGAAAUAUUUUUUUUCAUUGCUGAGGCUGAAGGACUGCUGAAGCUGAAGGAUCUUGCAUUCAGGCAUUAGAGAGUGGGUCUGUGCUCCAGCUUAUUUUUGCAUUGCUAGCAACAGCCACCUUUUUCAACUCAGACUGGUCCAUUCCUUUUGAUAUUGUCUGUGUUGGGAGGGCAGUUUUCCCACCCUGGCAAGGACUUCUUUAUGUCUCCUCCUACUUUACUGGGCUAUAUAUUAGUGGUCACAAAAUAGCUUACUUUAUGCUGUAUCCCGCCCCCCUCGGCCCGGCCCCAGUUGUCUUCAAAUAUUGUAUUAUAUAUUUCAGGGCAUACUGGAAAGCCUUGAUCCUACCCCAUACCCACACAUACUCUCUUUUGCUCCUAGAAUUUAUAUUUUGGUCACAUAAUGUGGACAGAAGUCUACAAAGGCAGAAUAGCUGGGGAAAAUAACAAAAUAUAAACUCCCUGAUAAAAUACUGCUUUAGCAGUCCCAGAGGCAGCCUGGGGAAAGGACAAAUUCCCUUAGUUUUCUUUUGAUGUGGUGGCCCUUAUACAUACCAUCACUGUCUUAUUGCUUUCCCUUUAUAGCAGCUGUGCAUGCCUGGUAUGUCCAGAUGAUGAAAAAAAAGUCAGAUCCACACCAUAAACAAGCCUGUCUAAUCUUUCCUGUUUCAUGUGACUUCAGACAGUUAUUUGUUCAUCCGAAGGUGUUUGCUGAGUCUUUGACGUAAUAAAGGGAACCAGGGGUCCCAGUGCAAUUUCUUCAAUAUCUUCUGGGUUACACUAACACAGUUUUUCUUUUUCUUUUUAAACACUAUCCUAACUACCUGAAAUCUAGGAGGCUCAGAACCUGCAAUGCCUGAUCUCCCAGUGCCACCCAUCAGUGCACCUAGUCGCUGGACCUGGGAUCAAGAAGAAGAAAGAAAAAGGCAAGAGAAGUGGCAGGCAGAACAGGAGCGCUUGCUUCAGG